AAUUACAAUGUGAACUUAAUUCAAAAUCUUAGUUACACCACACGGGUCUAAAUUGAGCAUGUAACACAAACUACAUGGGCCUGAAUUGAGCCCGAGCCCAUAUCCAAAAUUUAGAUAUAAUUCAGGCCUCAACCUAACUACAUGGGCCUGAAUUUAGUCCAUACCCGAAUCCAUAUCAUAUAAGCCUACAUCUAACUCACAUUGAGCCUGAACCCAAAUAUGGCUUUACGGGCCUGAACUCAGCCCAAGUCUAAAUCCAAUGGCCAAUCUACACAUCUAACCCAAACCCAACCUAAUUAUAUCUCUGAAUGGGCCCAAGUUUAUGUCCAAGAUAAAACCCAAACCCAACCUAAUUAUAUCUCCAAAUGAGCCCAAGUUCAUGUCAAGACUAAAUAUAAACCCAACCCAAUUAUUUAUUUCAGAUUGAUCCAAGCUGAACCCAAUCUUUAAUUCCAAUCCAAUCAAGUCAUACAUGAAACCUAUACCAUAAUAACCAAAUCAAAGUCCAAACCUAACCUCAAUCAUGCACAACCUAAUCCAACCUCUUCUCCAUACCAAGUCUUUGGAAACAAACUAUUUCAAUCCGAUUCUCUAGCAUAUAAAACUAGAGCCAAACCACAACCAUAUUCAAACUCGAUCAAAUUCUAAAUAUAUGCUUAGAAUUGAUCAAAUCGUUUUUUUUAUUUUAGUACAUAUGACU
rnacentral:lncRNA from 1 species